CUAAAAGAAGGGGCCAUUUCUCUCUGUUCCUGUCCUGAAAAGCCAAAGAAGUUUAAGAUGAAGAGCUCUCUUCAGAAAUCAGUGAGGCCAGCAGACUGGGGACAAAGAGGGCCAGAAUUUGAUUACCUCUUUUAAAGAGUUGGCCAGGAACAAAGCUGGAAAAGAACGUCUUGGGAGACAGACUCUGUUGGCAACAAGAGGAGAUAUUUCACCUUGAAUUCACAUAUCAGGAGUUCAUUCACUCAUUCUACAUCUUCAUUGAGAAUUUACCAUGGACCAGACCCCAGGGUAGGAUCUAAAAAUGUUCAUCGUGACCCAAAUGGACACAGACCCUGCCCUCACAAAGUGUUGGAAAGCAGGCCUGGUUCCAGCAAGCCUCACCUUUCCCUUUGUCGGCUCAGCAAGCUUUCCUUGCAGUUCCACUCAACUGAAGGUAUACAAAGAAGGGAGCCACAUACUGGGGCAGCCUCCAAUCUGGACAAGACUUGGUGCUCAUCUUCCAGGAGCUCACCACAAACAGGACAGACAGAACCAGGCACACGGAACUCUGGAUUGAGACAGGCUAGGGUAGAUGUUAUCAUAAAAGUCUAGUCUGAGUGCUAGGAGAGAUUGGGAAGGCCAAGGCGAAUCUGGCAUGUGCGAUGUAGAAAGAUUUCUCUGAAGAGGCAGCAUUUGAGUAGGGUCUUGAAGACUUCAUCUAAUCUUGACAGCCCUACUACAUCUUCUUGGUGCCCAGUAUUUCAGAAGAAAUCCUGUGGAGGAUAAAGUUAGAGGAGGGGCUACCUGCCUGAAAAGACAUCUGACUCCAUGGAGAUCCAGUGUCAGGAACAGUGCGGGGACCAGAUGCUGCAGCAAUUGCACCUGUGUGUAUAGGUCCUUGGGGGCUGCUGAGGGUACAUACAAAAUCAACCCUUUUCCUUUGUGAUCUGCCUCUAGCUUUGGCCUUUUGGGUAAACCUGACCCCUAUUUUUCCUAUUCACUCCUGAAUGUUCAGUACUUGCUCAAGAGGCAUUUGAGUCUGCUCAGUCUCCAUUCUUGGUAUGUGACUACACUUCAUCAUUCCAGCUUAGCCCAUCACCAGUUACUAGCCUUCACCUGGCCAUUCUUCCCCCAGCUCUUAAUUCAUCAGGCUGGGUGAGUAUACAACAUAUACAAGGGCACUAGUCAAGAUACACAGGUUGUGAUGCAAUAACAAAUAACCCCCCUUCCCCAAAUCUCAGUGGCUUAACACAGAAAAGAUUUGUUUAAUACCCAUGCAAAGUUUGCAGCAAGCUUAGUGGCUCUCCAGGGCAAUUCUCUUCUAAUAAGCACCUUAGAGACCUGGCAGGCUUCCAUCCUUGACUCUGAUAUCUUAACACAUGGUUUCCCAUGUUAGCGGAGAGAGCUGGGCAGUCAUCUGAGGGCUGAUGACUGCAUUUUCCCCUAAGUGACACACAUAAUUUCUGCUCAUAAUCUUGACCAGAAUUAGUCUCAUGAUAUGACCUAACUUCAAGCUUUCGAGGAAGAAAAGAAGUAGGUAUUUACGAGUUCUACCCACGUCGAUCACAGUGUGUCCAGCCUCUGCACAUUUAUUUAUUCAUUCUAUUUACAGACAUUCUUAUCGGGGGGCCCAAACUUUCCACCCAUCGUAGCCCAGCUUCUCCUUUCUCAUCCCUAUUUCUAUGAUCAAUUCACAGCCUAUAUCUCUGUCCCCACUGACACACUUCUCAGCCAGUAACUGGUAAGCUGUGAUUCAAGCUCGUGACUGUGUAUUUUGUAAAAAAUCUCACACCUUUUCCUCUACAUUAAGCCACUUCAGUUGGAAAAGCCCAUUUCCUAAAAACAUUUCUGCUCUUGUUGGGACAACAGAGUUGAGACACAUGAUAAAGGUAGGAUGGCUCAAAUAUGGCAGUUAAGAGCUUGGUUUCUGAAAUGAGGCUCACAUAAGUUCAACUCUCAACUCUGACACUGAUUAUUUGGAUGACCUUGGUUAAAUGACUUAACCUCCAAUUUUCACAUCUGUAAAAUGGGAAUUGUAAUAGUACAAGUUCAGGGUGGUCGUGAUGCCAAGCAAGCUAAUGUGGUUAGUAAGGGCUCAAUAAACAGUAACUGCUCUUAGUAUUACUAUAGAUU
rnacentral:lncRNA from 13 species